rnacentral:rRNA from 1 species
GGAACGAUGAACCUCACUGUGGGGGGAUUAGUGGCGAACGGGUGAGUAACACGUGAGUAACCUGCCCUUGACUCUGGGAUAAGCCUGGGAAACCGGGUCUAAUACUGGAUACGACCUUCUGGCGCAUGCCAUGUUGGUGGAAAGCUUUUGUGGUUUUGGAUGGACUCGCGGCCUAUCAGCUUGUUGGUGGGGUAAUGGCCUACCAAGGCGACGACGGGUAGCCGGCCUGAGAGGGUGACCGGCCACACUGGGACUGAGACACGGCCCAGACUCCUACGGGAGGCAGCAGUGGGGAAUAUUGCACAAUGGGCGCAAGCCUGAUGCAGCGACGCCGCGUGAGGGAUGAAGGCCUUCGGGUUGUAAACCUCUUUCAGUAGGGAAGAAGCCGGCUUUUGGGUUGGUGACGGUACCUGCAGAAGAAGCGCCGGCUAACUACGUGCCAGCAGCCGCGGUAAUACGUAGGGCGCAAGCGUUAUCCGGAAUUAUUGGGCGUAAAGAGCUCGUAGGCGGUUUGUCGCGUCUGCCGUGAAAGUCCGGGGCUUAACUCCGGAUCUGCGGUGGGUACGGGCAGACUAGAGUGCAGUAGGGGAGACUGGAAUUCCUGGUGUAGCGGUGAAAUGCGCAGAUAUCAGGAGGAACACCGAUGGCGAAGGCAGGUCUCUGGGCUGUAACUGACGCUGAGGAGCGAAAGCAUGGGGAGCGAACAGGAUUAGAUACCCUGGUAGUCCAUGCCGUAAACGUUGGGCACUAGGUGUGGGGGACAUUCCACGUUUUCCGCGCCGUACUAACGCAUUAAGUGCCCCGCCUGGGGAGUACGGCCGCAAGGCUAAAACUCAAAGGAAUUGACGGGGGCCCGCACAAGCGGCGGAGCAUGCGGAUUAAUUCAUGCAACGCGAAAACCUUACCAAGGCUUGACAUGAACCGAAUGAUGCGAAUGUGUCAGCCACUUGUGGCCGGUUUACAGGUGGGGUUGUCGUCACUCGUCGGAAUUUGGUUAAUCCCAACGCAACCUCUUCUUUGCCGCGGGUUAUUCGGGAGACCGGGGAGAGGGGGGUCAUCCACCACGGACAAGGCGAAAAAAGCCCCCAUUUUGGGUGUUCCCUCACGA